rnacentral:snRNA from 1 species
GUACCAUAAAAUUGGAGACAUCCGAUAAAAUUGGAACGAUACAGAGAAGAUUAGCAUGGCCCCUACGCAAGGAUGACAUGCACAAAUCGAGAAAUGGUCCAAAUUUUU